GGUCGGACAGGCGGAGUAAGGGGUCCGGGUUGGGUGCAAGGGAGGGGAGAGGAUUGGGGUCUGGUGCGAGAAAGGGGUUAGGGUUAGGAUAAGGGGUGAUAACUACAAUCAAUUUUCAAAACAGGCUAUAACUGUUGAUAGUAUGGUGGCAGAGAGCUAUAAAUACCCCUGUGUUUUGCGGGUAGUCUCUGUUAUGGGUUAGGUUAGGGGACGCAAGGUGUCCGUAUUACGCUGGCUACAUGUUGUCUUCUUUACUAUUUAUUUAUUUUCAGCAUUGGCCUGUGGUAGGAGGGGGAGUAAGACACAAGUUAUUAUGGAAGAAAGGCUGGCUGAAGGAAAGGUUACCCAAGGGGAGCAGGGAUCCCAGUCUUCGUCUUCAGGUUGAAAUGAUCCAGAUUGCUAUUGGCUGACCCAGCAGAUGACCUGAGUGGCCUGGUCUCUGCUCGAACCCUCUCACGUCUCACGUCUCCGACUCUCUACCCUCGUCCCUUGUUGAGUCUCUGGAGGAGGAGGAACGGUCCUUGGACCUGAACCUGGAGGACGAGGAAGAGUUCCCAGCUUUAGCACAGCCACAAAGAACACACACACACACACACACAAGCAGCCCCUUCACCUCAAGUCCUCAGAACAGGUCCAACUCACCUCUGAAUAGCCACAGGAGGGACAGAGACUGGCGGCAAAACCCAAAAGACCUCCUCUGUUUAACUCCCAAUCAACUCCAGUGGGGGAUAACCUUGAACCAACGCUGGAGGAAGGAGGUGCUCCGCUGCCUUUCUCCCCUAUAUUCCAGACAGACAAUAAUGUGGGAGCCACUGUCCCUCAGCAUUCCAGGGAACCUUCAGCGAUCUUCCCUGUUUUUCCCCCUCUGCUCCUAACCCUCUCCCUAGACAGGGUCAGGAUCGGUCUCCCCAACAGAGAACACAAAAUCCACCAGCCUCCACAUCUGAAGAUGAGUUUGUUUCCUCCGUGGACAGACUGUGGAUAGGAGAAACAAAAGUGGGACAUAUCAGGGUAGACUCACAGCCCACACAGAGACACAUAGCUAAUAGUAAAUCUCUUAACUAAACUACUUUUUUCCCCCUAACCUAAUCCCAACCCUCCCCCUCUUCUCUCACCUAACCCUUGCUCUUACCCUUACCUUCCUUCCCCUCCUUCCCUGCCUAAACCUAAUCCUCCCCCUCCCUUCCGAGCUGACCCUAACCCCUGCCUUUUCUCCUCACCUAAUUCUAACCCUCCCCCUCCUUCCUUGCCUAACCUUAACCUUCCCCUUCCUCCCUUACCUGAUCUCUACCCUUCCCUCCCCCCCUUUUCCUAAUCCUUACCCUCCCUCCUCUUCCUCCCCCUUACCGGGACCCCAUCCCCUUCCUUCCCUCCCACCUACACCUAAUUCCUUCUCCUCUCCCUCACUCACCCCAACCCUGUCCCCUUCCCUGCACCUGACCCCAAUCCUCUCCCCUCCCUUGCACCCAACCCGGACCCCUUACUCCUCCUGUCUGGCCCUACCUCGAACACUGGGGCUCCUAUGGGCCCGCUGACCCCGGCCAACCUCUCCUGGGACUCUCAAUCCAACAUUUUAAACCUAUCCACGCUGUUUAAACCCAAUGAGGCCCAGAUACACCUGUUGGAGAGGGGGCUCACCUACAUCCCUGCCCCCCCUCCUUAGGGAGGGACUGCGUAGGGACCUCUACCUGUAACAUAGAAGAAUUAAGAAGCUACAUUAUUUCCAGGAUACCAACCUUGACAUCACACCCAUCAUACAUCCAAAUGGGAACGGGCCUGGGAACACCUGGAUGUCAGGGUAACAGUCAGGGCCCUCAUCCACAGGGAUGUCGAAUGCUUAAACUCCUAUGUACCUCCUCCACAGGCAGAUGGUCGUCCUCCCUUGGAGGAGAGAAAAAUCCGCAAUAGACAAUUUUUCCUCCUUCCAAAAAUUCAUAAAGAGCCCCAGACUUGGACUGUGCCCUAUGCAGUCCCUCCCAGCAGACUGGUUUCAGAUUGCAGCAGCGCCACCUACAAUAUUUCCCUUUAUGUAGACUCUUUCCUCUACCCUCUCUCCAACAAACCCAAGUUACCUCAAAGAUACCUACCAUUUUUUAGACCUGAUCCGUCCUUUGGUUCUCCCCUUGGCAGCGAUGCUCUUUACAAUCAACAUUGAUAGUUUGUACACUAACAUAAACAUGGAGAUGGGCCUCAGAACAGUGAAAAAUAUCUUCCAUAGAUAUCCAGAUGCAAAAAGGCUUGAUACAGAGAUCCUGCAACUUUUAGAGGUCUGCCUAAAAUGCAAUGAUUUUGAAUUUGACCAGAAGCAGUACCUGCAUGUAGAAGGCACAGCAACGGGACACUGCUAUUCACCCUCCUACACCAAUCUCUACAUGAGCGAGUGGGAGCGAGAAGCACUGGUGAAGUGUCCCCUAAAACCUUGCUUCUACUUCAGAUUCCUGCAAAACAAGUAGUAAGAGUUUUGAGUUUAGGAGUAAAGAGUGCCUGAAUUCAACAGAUUGAAAUACUAAAAGAAAUUGGGUAAAGUCUACCCAAACUUGCCCAAUACAUUACACAAGUAAUUACUCCCAAAAAAUUGAGCAAUAUUAACUUUUGAUUAUUGGGUAAAUGUUAAUCUAUAAUUAUUGUUAACAAUUAAUCAAUAUGACUACUUAACCAUUACUUAAUCAGGGAAGGUUAAAUGUACUUAAAAACUUAUUCUCAGACACAGCAGAUUAGUAUUAGACGCUUAGACGUUAGAUAUAUGAUACUAUAUAUUGUUAUUAAUUAACUGCUGACAGAGAAAUUUUUCUAAACCUUGUAAUUUGAUCAACUUUAAACUUACGACAAAUAGCUUCAAAGUGUCUUCUUAGGCCAUGAUUAUUUAUUAAGCUUGUGAACCUGCAGCGUCAUCUUGGUAGUGAAGACUUAAGAUGUAGGGAUUAGAAAAGACUGCAGCAAGCCCAGACAGAAAAGCUGACUGGACGUUGUCCUGAAUGACGGACCCCUCAGUGCUGAUCAUUCAGUGGUGAAUACAGCUUCUUAGUGUUUCACCUGAAACCAUUUCAGCAUUGACAUUGUUAUUAUUCCACUGCAAAUGAUGCAGUGCCAGGGAAACUGAUUAACAACCCCUCCUUUUAAAACAAGAAAUGUAUUUUAAUAUUAUAUGAAUUGUGGACUUUUCUGAAUGGAUGAGUAUUUGCUACAUACAUUAUGUGUGUGGUUUAAUGUAGACAAAACAAAAAACAUAACUUACAUUUGCCAGAAGGAUCAACCGCUCCAGGGUCUCAGAGAAGUGAGUCAUUAGUAGCUUCCAGCUUUGACACAGUUCAGUUUUCCAAGCACGGGGGCAGUUCGACCGAAAUUAACGUUUUGACUGUAGGUUUUGGUAGUUUUAUAGAAUUAGCUAGUUAACUAAUGUUAGCUAACAAGCGCUCCAUCAGUUCAGGUGCCACAUUCACAGAACCGCUGUUUACAUAAAACAAGCCACGUCGUUUGGAGACAUGCAUUUAGUGUUGCCGUGAGACAAAGUAAAGUGAACACGAGAAAAUGAGACUGGAGGAUCAGGAUCAGAGGUCCAGCUCCUCUCUGCAGUGACACAUGUUCAAACUGCUGCUGAAACAGGUGUUGAAAAAGUCCCUGUUAUAUUCAACUAUCACCAAGGGUUUCAGACAGAGAAGGAUUUUCCCCGUUAAGCAACUUCACAGAUCUGUAGUUAGAAGUGGCUAACGUUAGCUGACAAAAUACUCCCAUAGUGUGUGUCCUCUUCAAGUAUUUUUGUUAAUGAGUCAAACGGUUAUCGCUGUUGCGACCUUAUCAAGACACAGGAGGAGCUGACUGGAGUCGUGAUGUAUUUUGCCUAUCGAUGCCAAUGAGCAAAACAAAAAGGCUCUUACCUUGUAAUCUGCAGAUGAAGAUGGGUGAAAAAUUCGUCCAUUCAAAAUGUUUUACCUUCAAUCCAACAACUCCUUAACUAACAGCUGACAACAGAAACCACGCAACAGGCACCCAAGUGUAGUUAACCAUCGCUAACGCAAUUGUUCUGAUGCAAGUGCACAUUUCAGCGGGGGACUGAUUAAUAAGUUGCCCAUUAUUAUAUAUUUCACUUGCUGUCUAUUCAAAAGUAAAUUUUAACCAAUUUACAUGGAUUGUAUUUACCACCCUCCAAAAUCCUUUUUCACAGUGUGGAUGACAUCACUGGGGCAACAUUUAUAUGAACUUAGCACAAAAAGUAUGGAAAUUUGUGUUUGGUAAAUUAUUUUAUUUUUACAGCUUAUUCUGUCACUGACUCCUGUUUGGUGUUUGGUGGAUUGGAUGAUUGAAGUCUGAAGAAACAAGACAUAUUGGCAAUUUAACAAUUUAUUCAUUUAACAAACAGGAGCCUCAGUAGCAUGUGGAAGAACCAUACACAGCCACUACAGUCUGGCUCCUCAUGUUGGUCACCAGCCACUGCUGUGGGAUGGCAUCCCAUUCUUCAACCAGCAUUUGUCGCAAGUCAGCCAACGUGGUUGUGUUGGUCACUCGAGCACGAACAGCCCAUUGCUGAACAUGACGUUCCUCCACAUGUUCAGGUUCCAGUGCAUGUGUUGCCGACACCAGCGCAAAUGGGCUUGAUGGUGAAGGGCAGUCAUGGCAGGCCUCCUGGCAGCCCUAUGAGACCAGAAGCUCAAAACAAGAGUCCAUAGCAACAGCAAUAUAAGCUGUUUGGCAUUGGCAGAGAAGAUUUGGCAAAACAGGCUUUCCAACGGUAUAAGAUUUAUUGCCAAGAAGCUUUGUCACAACAAAGAAAUAAUCUACCAAACACAAAUUUCCUUAGUUUUUGUGCUAAGUUUAUUAAAUAGUCAUCAUCCCUCUAUUAAAGUUAAAUACAAUUUGGAUCCCCUCAAAGUUCAAUUGGAUGGACACAACAGUUUUUUUUUUUUUUUGAAAACCUAAACAACAAUAACAAAAAACUCCUUACCCAGAUCUUCUUCAAACCAACCUCCACAAGACCAGCUAUCACCCCAAACAUACAGUUAGAGGCAUCAUUAAAUCUCAAAUCAUCCACCUCUAUGGAAUCUCAGCAGAUAUGCAUAGCCCAAUCUCCACUCUCUUUAAAAGCUUAAGAAAGAGAUAGUUCUUACGAACCAUUAAAAAGGCCACUCUGGCUGCCCUCGCUCACAGGAUGGUCCUCCAACUGGGGCUGCUGGACAGGGACACCAUGAGGGGAACAACACCAGGGAUCUGGACAAAAUAAUUCCCCUAGUCAGCACUUACUCCAAACUUUAUUUACCCCUACAAAAUCAACUCAAAAAUAAUUUUGAAAAAUCAAUGAUGCAGCACGACCGACUCAGGAAUUAUAAACCACUCUCAGCAUUAGGGAAAAAUAAAAACCUAAAGGACACACUGGUAAGAGCUAAAUUUCCGAAACAGAGACCAGGACAGAUGAGAGACGAACAUUGGGCCUUCCACCCCAAAAAGUUCCUAAAUAUCCCACAUGGGGGAGCCAAUGCCCCAAUAAUGGACAACAUCUCCCUCCAAACCCAGAAUCUGGUUUAUGUCAUAACCUGUUGUGCGUGUAUUUUAAUUUACAUAGGGGAAACACGACAACCUUUUCUGACACAACUCAAACAGCACCUGUACACCAUUGGGGAGGACAGACAGACCACCACACUGGUCCAGCAUUUCCAAAUUCACUCAAUUCAAUAUCUCUCCAUCACUGGCCUUCAAAUUAAUCCGGCAUGGAUAGAGGGUCAAAAGAGGAGACAGGAGGCCCUGUGGGUAGAGAGACUGAAAACAAGGGCCCCUCUGGGACUUAAUACAGUUUGAAUUAUUCUCCUAAACAUCACCACCUGUAGAAAUUGAAAAAUGAAGAACUUAUAGAGACCUUCAUGCACACUCCUUCUGUUUUUUUUCCUUUCUUUAGAAUAUGAUUUUGUAUGCUUAUU